rnacentral:misc_RNA from 1 species
UGUCAAAUCCAUUUGCUUUUUGGUAUCUAGGAGAGGAACGUAAAAGCCUAUAAUGUCGACACCAAUGGAAAUGAACUGAAAGUAAAUGAUAAAAAGUUCAAUAAGAAAUAGACCUCCCUUGAGCUGGAAACCUGAAGGGUUAGGUCUAUCAUGAAACUACAUCGAGCAAGCCCUUUGAUGGGCAGCUUUUUGUACAGAGCCGGGGUGCUACCAACACCCUGG